ACCCCAGAAGGCUGUCCCCUAUACUGUACUGUUUGAUUGUCAUGUUAGGCUAUAAGCGCUCUACAGGUGUGGCUUUAGUCAAUAAAGCUCCUGUACUUCAGGAAUGCUUUCAGAGACCCUUUCAGCUCCUCCAGGAGACAGCAGAAGCAGCUCUGACCAUCUUCAGCUCUCCACGAGAAGCACAGAAUCUGAUAUAAAGCAAGACAUCUCUGAGUGAUCUCCUCUGCCCUGGAAAUACAGAAGAAAUAAGCUCAUCCACACAUGUCAGGAUCCCCUGAAUGAGGAAGACACAGUGAAGGAGAACUGUGAGCUGAUAACUGAACACGUCUGUGAGAUCCAAGCAGAAGUGGAGAAGCUGAAACCAACACUGUACAAGCUGAAAACAUGACUGCUCCUGAGAAUAAACGAGCCUCGGCUAUCGCUCAUACUGUCUUUGCUGCUGCAGCCGUUCUCUCCACUAUUUCGGUUAUUGCACAAAUUAAAAAAGGAGCCUUUCUGACAGACCUGAAAAGGCACUAUAGAGAAGAAUCCAUAUGUGCGGGUGCAGCGGUUGUGAUUUUUGUGCUUUUCUUUGUGAUUGAUUUGAUUGUUCAGGUAAUUAUAGCACGGAUUGGCCAUGAUAAGGUGGACAACGCUGUGAGAGAGGUCAAAAACCAUUUUGAUGAGUACAAAGCAGCAUAUGACAAAUGUCAGGAGAACAGUGUGAUAAAACAACUGAAGAAUGAGGCAUAAGAAGAAAAAGACGAGUGAUAGAUCGAUUGAAUGUUUUUGUUAUACAUUUUAAAAAGUAUACAAGAAGAUGAACAGUAAACAGUGUGUCCUGUAUCCUACACUGAUCAUGUGUCUCUAUCUGAUGUGUUCAGACCAUCAAUAAAUCAAGUGUAUUCAGAUGUGUGGUGUUGUUAAAUGGUGUCUACACGUCUCUCUGAACUUGCCUGAAAUAAAUGACUCAUCAU